GACCUCCGCAAUGUGAGAAAUCGCGACGGGGGGAUCCCAAGUGCCAUUCUUAACGGGAUGGCUUUUCAUUAGUGUAAAAAGCUUUUGGAAUAAGAGCUGGGCAAGACCGGUGCCAGCCGCCGCGGUAACACCGGCAGCUCUAGUGGUAGCUGUUUUUAUUGGGCCUAAAGCGUUCGUAGCCGGUUUGAUAAGUCACUGGUGAAAUCCUGUAGCUUAACUGUGGGAAUUGCUGGUGAUACUGUUGAACUUGAGGUCGGGAGAGGUUAGCGGUACUCCCAGGGUAGAGGUGAAAUUCUGUAAUCCUGGGAGGACCACCUGUGGCGAAGGCGGCUAACUGGAACGAACCUGACGGUGAGGGACGAAAGCUAGGGGCGCGAACCGGAUUAGAUACCCGGGUAGUCCUAGCCGUAAACGGUGCGGACUUGGUGUUGGGGUGGCUUUGAGCUGCUCCAGUGCCGAAGGGAAGCUGUUAAGUCCGCCGCCUGGAAGUACGGUCGCAAGACUGAAACUUAAAGGAAUU
rnacentral:rRNA from 1 species